GAAAGAAAAGAAAAAGAGAUAAAGAUCAUAUAAGAAAGAAAAGUCAAAAACAAAAAGGCAAUUCUACUUUUCCAUCAUCUUCUCCACCCUUCUAGAAAAAACAGCCCCUUCAUGCUUGUUUUCUUCAUUUUUUUAGAAGGAUAGUGGAUGAUUUGAAGAGUUUGAAAGAAAAUAAGGAAAGAAAAGAAAAUGAAGCACUUUGGAAGCCUUGGUAACCAAAAGAUUUCUUUCUUUCCCCUUUGCCUAUGUUUAUAUAUAUAUUGGAUGCAUGUUAUAUAAAGAUGUUAGUGUGUUUGGUGUUGAUUUAAGGUGAGUUUGGUGAGGAGGGAGCCAAUUUAGCAAAGAUUAGCUUGAAAUAAGGUACAGGUAAUCGAGGUAGCUGUAAGGCAGGGUCAGGUCAGCAUAGGUAGAUCCGGUUGGAGCAGAGACAUAGAUGUGACGACGUCAAGACAACGGGUCAGUAAUGGAACAGCAUGCAAUUAAUAGACUCUUAGAUUUCUAUUGAUUAUGAUUAUGAGAUGAUAUGAUUUUAUUAUGGAUUUCAUUUGGAUAUUACUAUAAUGCUUGGGAUUAGACUUGGAUUGAUUAUUAUUAUUAUUAAUAAUUGAGGCAUUUUCUUGUA